GCUCAUUUCUCUUCUUCUUUACUCUAUACGUUGGUGUUAUAACCAAUAAUCACCAAAGCGAAGUUCUGUCCAAUUGAUUCAGGAACCAACGAACGAAUGCCAAAGUGUUGUACUUUGUGAAUUUCGGUAAACGGAAUCCAAAGUACUAUACCUUGUGAUUUCGAUAAACGGAAUCCAAAGUAUUACAUUUUGUAAAUUUUGUUAAGGUUCGAAUCUCGUGACUACCGUUAGGUUUGAUUUGGGUUUUACACAAAUACGUAUUCCAUUCUGUUAAACUAUAUGUUUAACUACCGAAAAUACUUCCCACUACACACUCACAAUCAAACAAACUAUUAAAUCAUCAGAAGAUCCAGAAUAAUAAAGGACAUGCUUAAUUAUCGGAAGAAGUAGAAUCAAGAAGUUGUUAACUCAAUCCUACAUGCUGAUUUGUAAUCACGGUAUAUUGGAGUAAGGAUUGUAUCCGGCACUGAAGGACUUCAAGAAGUGGCUUAUUUUAUUAAUUAAAUCAAAAUUAAGAAAUAUUAUUUUUAUUAAAAGCUACCUUUGUAAAAAAAUGGAAUUUAUUCCAUCUAUUUAAAUAAAAUCCGGUGUUUCGAAACUCUGAUAUUUUUCCUAACUCACGGUCCUGAUGAAAAUUCCACUGCAAUGUUUUUCAAAAUAAUCACCGGUACCACUGGACUGCUCACAGCUUCCGAUUCCGGCCAGGAUGGGGUCGGGGGUCGUGACACUAGCUAACAAAUCUAAAGGUUUCAGUAGUCCUAGUUACGGAUUAAAUGUGUUACAAAGUGCAAAUCACAUGGAUCAUCCAUGUGUAUUUGGCAAAAAAAGGGGACUAUAAACACAUGGACCAUCCACUUACUUUUGAAAGCUAAGGGCCAAAUCGAAAGAUUUCGUCAAUCAAAGGGAUCAUCCAUGUAUUUUAUUCUGGUUAGCAUCAUUUGUUGAUGUUAGACCAAUUAUUCCUGAUAUUGAUGGUACCCUUUUCUAAUAUUUUAUAUUGUACCUCUCUUAUAUAUAUAAAAAGUUUUAUUUGUCGU
rnacentral:lncRNA from 1 species